GACGUAGGAUCCAAGCGUUGUCCGGAUUUACUGGGUGUAAAGGGUGCGCAGGCGGGCUGGUAAGUCUGGGGUGAAAUCUCGCCGCUCAACGGCGAAACUGCCUUAGAUACUAUCAGUCUUGAAUAAGCGAGAGAUCCGUGGAAUUCCGAGUGUAGCAGUGAAAUGUGUAGAUAUUCGGAAGAACACCAGCGGCGAAGGCAGCGGGUUGGCGCUUUAUUGACGCUCAGGCACGAAAGCAUGGGGAUCAAACAGG
rnacentral:rRNA from 1 species